AGUAAUGUCAGCUAAUGUUAAGCUUUUGGUCCCAUACCCCGAACAUGUUGGUUAAACUCCUUCCUUUACUA
rnacentral:tRNA from 1 species